UACGAAGGGGGCUAGCGUUGCUCGGAAUCACUGGGCGUAAAGCGCACGUAGGCGGACUCUUAAGUCGGUGGUGAAAUCCUGGAGCUCAACUCCAGAACUGCCUUCGAUACUGAGAGUCUCGAGUCCGGGAGAGGUGAGUGGAACUGCGAGUGUAGAGGUGAAAUUCGUAGAUAUCGGGAGGAACACCGGUGGCGAAGGCGGCAUCCUGGACCGAGAUUGACGCUGAGGCGCGAAAGCCAGGGGGAGCAAACGGG
rnacentral:rRNA from 1 species